rnacentral:rRNA from 1 species
GCAAGCGUUAAUCGGAAUUACUGGGCGUAAAGCGCACGCAGGCGGUCUGUCAAGUCGGAUGUGAAAUCCCCGGGCUCAACCUGGGAACUGCAUUCGAAACUGGCAGGCUUGAGUCUUGUAGAGGGGGGGAGAAUUCCAGGUGUAGCGGUGAAAUGCGUAGAGAUCUGGAGGAAUACCGGUGGCGAAGGCGGCCCCCUGGACAAAGACUGACGCUCAGGUGCGAAAGCGUGGGGAGCAAACAGGAUUAGAUACCCUGGUAGUCCACGCCGUAAACGAUGUCUACUUGGAGGUUGUGCCCUUGAGGCGUGGCUUCCGGAGCUAACGCGUUAAGUAGACCGCCUGGGGAGUACGGCCGCAAGGUUAAAACUCAAAUGAAUUGACGGGGGCCCGCACAAGCGGUGGAGCAUGUGGUUUAAUUCGAUGCAACGCGAAGAACCUUACCUGGUCUUGACAUCCACAGAACUUUCCAGAGAUGGAUUGGUGCCUUCGGGAACUGUGAGACAGGUGCUGCAUGGCUGUCGUCAGCUCGUGUUGUGAAAUGUUGGGUUAAGUCCCGCAACGAGCGCAACCCUUAUCCUUUGUUGCCAGCGGUCCGGCCGGGAACUCAAAGGAGACUGCCAGUGAUAAACUGGAGGAAGGUGGGGAUGACGUCAA